UCACAAUUUAUUUAAACCUGACCAGUUCUAUACCUGUUUAAGAAAUGUGUAGAUUAAAUGUCUGUUGUUAAAGUGCUUACAGAACUUGCAAACUUAUUACAGUGUAUACUAGCAUGCAAGAGGAAAUCAGCAGGCUUUGUGCUUAGAGGCAUUACACUUUGCAGUGACUAACUGCUCUAAAGAUAGCCCUUUAUGACCACUGAAACAUUCUUUAAUUAGACCAGAGGUAAGAAGAGGAUGUCAAAAGUCUCCUUGGCAGAGGAGGUACUUCUAAAGUCUUAGACUUUAUGGUUAGGUCUUUUGUAAUUCGGAGACAACCCAGCAAGCUUCAUUUGUUGUUAAUCUGGUAUUUAGUAAAGAUGAGUUUAACCGACGGUCCCAUUAAAGAAGAUGUGAUGGCGUGGGAGCCAAAAAAGUUAGCAGACUACAUGAGACAGCUCAAGUUAUUCGGCUGUGACAAUGUAGUGUUGAAGAGGGGCAUAACUGGAGCACAAUUUCUGCAUAUGAUCCAGCGUGAUCUUCAAGUGUUUCCAAUCACCUACGUCCCAAUACUUGCAAAAAUUCAAAGAGAUGUCAAUAAGCAAGAAAAGAGGAAGA